rnacentral:ncRNA from 1 species
AAUAAAAUUUAUCUAAAUUGAAAUUAAAUUCUGGUUUAUCAUUUAAAUUUUAAAUUAUAUUACAUGCAAUCUAUUAGUUGUUAAAAAGGUUCUAAAAGAACCAUAAUAAGAUUACGCAGUAUUUAUUAUUGUUAAUUAAUAACAUUAGAAUCAGUAAUUUUAUUUAAGAGAAUCAAAUUUCGUGCCAGCAGUUGCGGUUAUACGAUUGUCUUUAAUUUAAAUUGUUAAGUUUCAGUUAAUAAAAUUUAAAUAUUAAACAAUUAUAAUUUUGGUGAAAUAUAUUUUUAUGAAAAAAAUUAACUUUUAUGUCUGGGAAAUUUUUGUAUAAACUAGGAUUAGAUACCCUAUUAUUAAAAAUGUAAUAAAAAUAAUUUGAUUAUUAUUAGAAAUGAUCUUUAAAUUCAAAGAAUUUGGCGGUAAUUUAUCUUAUCAGAGGAACCUGUUUUUUAAUUGAUAGUCCACGAUAGAAUAAACUUUAUUUUAAUUUGUAUAUCUCUGUCAAGAAUGUUUUAAAAGAAUAAUUUUCAUAUGUUUUAUAUACUUUAUGUCAGGUCAAGGUGCAGUUUUUAAUAAAGAAAAAAUGGGUUACAAUUAAAAUUUUUAAUGAAUUAUAUUUUUAUAAAAAUAUGUGAAAUUGGAUUUGAAAAUAAAUUAAUUAAAUUAAUUUAAUUGAAAUUAGCUCUAAAUUAUGUACAUAUCGCCCGUCACUCUCAUAAAAUUAAUGAGAUAAGUCGUAACAAAGUAGCUGUACCGGAAGGUGUAGCUAGAAAGA